rnacentral:lncRNA from 1 species
CCUGAGUAGCUGGGAUUACAGGCGCGCACCACCACGCCCGGCUAAUUUUUGUAUUUUUAGUAGAGACGGGUUUCACCAUGUUGGUAAGGCUGAUCUCAAACUCGUGACCUUGUGAUCUGCUCACCUUGGCCUCCCAAAGUGCUGGGAUUACAGGUGUGAGCCACUGUGCCCGGCCUUGAUCAUUUUAAAUUCAUAAAUAAUACUUAGCCCCUGAGUAAUUAUAAUAAAUAUAUAAUUAAUGCAUAUAUCACCCAUAGUUAAUUAGGAAUAUUUUAUUGGCUUAAUGAGCAAAAUAUGAUCAUAAAAUAUAAGCCAUCAUAGCCCAGAUGUAUAGCAAUAAAAGAGCUUAGAUUAUAAUAUCUCACAAUACAAGUCUGCAUUAGCAAUGACACUGUUAUAAAAUAUUUAUAACACUUUCUGAUUUAAUUUUAAAGAGAUUCAUUCAGUAUCUUUUUGGCAUUUGAAAUGAAACCUUAUUUUCCCUCCACACAAUAGCUGAUUAAAAACAGCUUUUGAAGAGGUCCCAGGCAACACACACAGAGGGGAAAUGGUUAGAUACGUGGGGCAUCUUUGUAUUUUCACAUUAAAAUUCAAUGUUAUUCAGACCCAAGUAGAUAGAUAAUAAAAGUGGCAUUCAAGUUGGGAAUGGUAGCACAAGCCUGUAGUCUCAGCUACUCAGGAGGCUGAAAUGGGAAGAUCACUUGAGCACAGGAGUUUGAGGUUUUAGUGCACUGUGAUUGCACCUGUGAAUAGCCACUGCACUUCAGCCUAACAUAGCAAGACCCCAUCUCUUUUUUUAAAAUGUUACAUUUAUAAUCAGUGAGGAAAAUAUAAACUAUACAAUAAAUGAAAGGGUCAUUGGCCAAUUGUUUGGAGGGAAAAAAUACACCAUGUUCUAAAAUAAAUUUCUAGUGAUUUAUUGUGACUUUCAUGCAUUUGGAUGAUUUUAAAGAUUUUAUAUAAAAAUGAAACCAUAGCCUUACGAGAAGAAAAUAUAAAGAAAAACUUGUAUAGUCUUGGGAGGGGGGAUUAUAUUAUGUGAAACAUUAAGUAAAAUAUUUAUUUUUUAAAUAUUAAAAAACUAAAAACUGUGCUUUAGAAGUCACCAAAAAAUUAAAGGGCAGGCUGGGCAUGGUGGAUCACACCUGUAAUCCCAGCUUUGGGAGGCUGAAAUGGGAGAAUCACUUGAGGCGGGGAAGUUCGAGACCAGCCUGUGCAAUAUAACAAGACCCCCAUCUCUCCAAAAAAAAAAAAAAAAAAAAAAAAAAAAAAAAAAAAAAGCCAGGCAUAAUGGCGUGUGCCUAUAGUCCUAGCUACUCAGGAGGCUGAGAUGGGAUGAUUGCUUGAGCCCAGGAGUUUGAGGCCACAGUAAGCUAUGAUUGCACUAUUGCACUCUAGCCUGGGUAACAGUGUGAGAACGAGACCCUGUCUCAGAAAAAAGAAAAAAAGAAAAAGAAAAAGGGCAAGUGCCAAAUGGAAAGAGAAAAAAAAAGGACUAACAAUUAGGAAGUCUUACAUAUCAGUAAGGAAAAGAUAAAUAGCCAAACAGAAAAAUGGGCAAAGGACUUGUACUGGUAAAUCAGAAAAGAAGAAAUGAAAAGGGUCAGCAAAGAUUUUUUUUUCAUUUCCAUCAAUAAUAAAAGAUGCAAAUCAAAGCAACAUUAAAAUACCAUUUUGCCUAUCUAAUUGGUAAGGAUUAUUUUUAAAGAUAAUACUCAGUAUUAGAGAAGGUAAUUAAUAAUGUGUGCCACAAGAUGUUCAUUGCAGUGUCCUUCCUUCCUCCCUCCCUUCUUUCCUCCCUCCCUCUUUCCCUUCUUUGCUCUCUCUUUCUUUUUUCUUUAUCUUUUUUUGGUAUAUGUUUGAUAUUGGUGAAAAACUGAAAAAUGAAAAUGACCAACAAAAAGAGGACUGGUUAACUAAAGUAUGGUAAAUUCCUUCAACCAAACAUCAACACUAUUCAACCAAUAAAAAUGACACUAUAGUUAAUAUAUUUGAAAAGAUGUUCAUAAUAUAUGAAGUUUUUGUUUUGUUUUGUUUUCUUAGACGGAGUCUUGCUCUGUCGCCAGGCUGGAGUGCAGUGACACGAUCUCAGCUCACUGCAACCUCCACCUCCCAGGUUCAAGCGAUUCUCCUGCCUCAGCCUCCCAAGUAGCUGGAACUACAGGCACGCACCACAACACCCAGCUAAUUUUUGUAUUUUCAGUAGAGACAGGGUUUCACCAUGUUGGCCAGGAUGGUCUUGAUCUCUUGACCUCGUGAUCUGCCCGCCUCGGCCUCCCAAAGUUCUGGGAUUACAGACGUGAGCCACCAUGCCCGGCAUAUAUGAAGUUUUAAAAAAUCAGAAUACAGAACAAAAUUUAUUGGGAGAUGAGCUUCUUUCUUUCUCUCUUCAACACCAUCGCCACAUCACCUCCACAUAUACACACACUGAAAAGAUACUGAAAAGACAUAAUAACCAUGGGAAAUGGAGAUUACUGGAUUGUUAAAUGUUCUUUUUGCCUGUCUUUAUUCUCUAACUUUGCUAUAAUGAACAGAAAUUAUUUUUUGAUAAGCAAAAAAUAUUUUAAAUUUAAACAUGUAAAGUAACUUAGUAGUUGUCUUUUCAAAAUAUGUAAGAAUCAUUAGUUCACUAGUUGGUUAAAUAUGUUUUUAAUCCCAACAUCUUGAUAAUUGUCGCAAAAUUGAGGGAACAUUUUUUGAACUCUAAAAUGCUAUAGAAUUGACAGAUCAUUUUUCAGUUCAUAAGUUAUUACUUAUAAUCAGUUUUUUUAUUGUUACUAUGGCAAUAUUUUAUACACAAGAAUGGCUGAGGUUAGGAAUUUGUGCCCUGAAAAUUGUAUCAACAUAUCAAAUAUGAAGUAAAUAACAAUUUCUUGCUUUAAAUAUAACAAAGAUGUGGGAAGAAGUGGUAGGCAAGAGUCUCUGUGUUACCAUGGGAACGAUUAAGUUUUCCAAGGUGCAAACCAGCCUCAUUCCAGCUUCAGGGUCAAUGACUUACUAGCUCAGAGGGAAAUGUAUAAAUAUUUAAGUACAUACCUACUAUCUGUACAGAGUGACUCUCAUUACCCAGAGAACUGCUGUAAAAUAUUAUUUAUUCACAGAUUACACAAAACCAAUCUAAAUUAGUACUUUUAUACAUUCUAUUUGGGGAGUACUUAAGGUGUAUGAGCAAACAAAUUGUUAUCCAGGUCACUCCAGAACUGUUGUAUACAGAUUAAGAAUUGAUGUUGGAUACUAAUUAAAAUCAUUAAAGCAAAAUCAAAAAACACUUUGGCUAGCAUUUCAAUUAUUUUUUAAACAGGAUUUCUUAAAACAAUCCCCAAAGUAGUCUUGUAAUUUGUUCAUUUUAAGGAUCUAUGUUACUCUGAGGCCAAUCAAGGGGGCUAACAGUCUAGUUGGGGAGCCAAGAUAGCCAUUCAUCAAUUCAUUCAUUCAUUCAGUAAAAUGUAUUGAGAACCUACUAUGUACCAAGCAAUGUGCUGGGCACUAAGCAUUGAAGAAUACCUGAAACAUGGCACCUGACCUCAAAAAGCUUAAAAUUAGGAGACAUAGACAUGUAAGUAAAUAACUGCUAUAGGCAAAUCUCAGCAACUGCCACACCUGCUUGCUCCUUUAGCAGAACUUCUCUGAUUGGCCAUAUUCUGCACAUAGUGACCAACUCACCUCUUUUCCCUAUCUGCUUUCCUUGCUAUAGCUGAGAAAAAAGCUGUGGCCCAAAAGUUUCUCCCCUGAGAGGGACAGGAUCAGAUUGUCUUUUCAAGAGUUCCCAUGUGCAAUACAGAGCUGAAGUUGAAGCUGAAAGGAUUCAUAGAGAAAGAUAACUGAUACCGUGCUUCCAGAAGAUUUUUCUAACAGUGUUUGCAAGCUAUAAAAUAGUGCUUUCACUUAGAAAAGGCUAGACGUGGUGGUUCAUGCCUGUAAUCCCAGCACUUUGAGAGGCCGAGGCACCAUGCUGGGAGAUAAGGAUCCAACAUAAGACAAACAGUGCUGAUGCUUUUGGAAAGCUCAUAUUCAAGCUGGGGAGACAAACAACAUACAAUUGCUGAACAGAAGACUUUUGAGAGUCAGCAGAAAUCUUCCACUUUGCAUGGUUCUCUUGAUGUGAAAUCAUCUAUAUAGCCCCAGAAUUGGAAAAGAAAAAAAAUAAAAAAAUGGAAGGAAACUGGAUUCGACAACAGUCUAAUGCUUUCUACUUUUAUUUACUUUUUCUUUAAAAAAAGUAAAUUCUGUUUAUAGUUACAAACAUCUGAUUUCUCAAUGAAUACUAGAGGAAAAAGGGAACAAAGGAAUCCAUAAUCUUCAAUUUACUUAAGAACUUAAUUAACCAAAUGCAAUGGACUCUAUUUGGGUACUGAUUUGAACAAAUAAACUAUAAAGACAUUUUUGAGACAAUUGGGGAAAUGUGAACAAUGAUUGGGUAUUUGAUGAUAUUAAGGAGUCACUGUCAAUUUUUAGGUGUGAUCAUGGUAUUGUGGUUCUGUUCCAAAAAAUAGCCCUUAUCUUUUAGAGCUAUGUUACAGUUUGGCUCCGUAUCCCCAUCCAGGCUUCAUCUUGAAUUGUAAUUCCUGUAUGUCAAAGGAGCAACCUGGUGGGAGGUGAUUGGGUCAUGGGGAUGGUUUCACCCAUGCUGUUCUCAUGAUAGUGAGUUCUCAUGAGAUCUGAUCGUUUAAAAGUGUGACACUUCCCCUCUUGCUCUCUUGUCUCCCACCACCAUGUAAGACAUGACUUGCUUCCCCUUCUGCCAUAAUCAUAAGAAUUGUAAUUUUCCUGAGGCCUCCCAAGCCAUGUGGAACUGUGAGUCAAUUAAACCUCUUUUCUUUAUAAAUUACCCUGCAACUGUCACCAUUCUCCAGACCCCAGAAUGGUAGAUCCAGCGACAGCCCUUGCACCUUCACCUGGAAAAGCCUCAGGCACUCACACCAGCCCUAAGACUGUGUAAUUUAUAAGGAAAAGAGGUUUAAUUGACUCACAGUUUUUAUAGCACUGUGAAAAUGGACUAAUAACAGAAAACUGGUAUCAGAAUAGUGGGGUACUACUAUAAAGAUAACCUGAAAAUGUGGAAGUGACUUUGGAACUGGGUAAUGGGCAGAGGUUAGAACAGUUUGGAGGAAUCAGAAGACAGGAAGAUGUGAGAAAGUUUGGAACUUCCUACAGACUUGUCAAAUGGUUUUGACUAAAAUGCUGAUAGUGAUAUGGACAAUGAAGUGCAAGCUCAGGUGGUCUCAGAUGGAGAUGAGAAACUUAUUGGAAACUAGAGUAUCUUGUAUGUUUUAGCAAAGAGACCAGUGGCAUUUUGCCCCCACCCCAGAGAUCUGUGGAACUUUGAAGUUGAGAGAGAUGAUUUAGGGUCUCUGAGAGAAGAAAUUUUUAAGGAUUCAAGAGGUGAUCUGGCUUUUGUGAAAGUGUACAGUCAUAUGCAUUCACAAAGAGAUGAUCUGAAAUUGGAACUUAUGUUUAAAAGGGAAGCAGAGCAUAAAAGUUAAAAAAAAAUUGCAGCUUGGCCAUGUGGUAGAAAAGAAAAACCCAUUUUAUGGGGAGAAAUUCAAGCUCGCUGCAGAAAUCUUCUUAAGUAAUGAGGAGCUAAAUAUUGCCAAGACAAUGGGGAAAAUGACUCCAGGCCAUUUCAGAGAUCUUCAAGGAAGCCUCUCCCAUCACAAGCCUGGAUAUCUAGGAGGAAAAAAUGGUUUUGUGGGCCAGGCUCAGAGCCCCACUGCUCUGUGCAGCCUCAAGACGGGGUGACCUGUAUUGCUGUUGCUUCAGCUCCACCCAUGGCUAAAAGGGGUCAAGGUACAGCUCAGACCAUUGCUUCAGAGGGUGCAAGCCCCACACCUUGGCAGCUUCCAUGUGGUGUUAAGUCUGCAGGUGCACAGAAGACAAGAGUUGAGCUUUGGGAGGCUCUGCCUAGAUUUCAGAGGAUGUGUGGAAAUGCCUGGAAGUCCAAGCAGAAGUCUGCUGUGGAGGUGGAGCCCUCAUGGAGAACCUCUACUAAGGCAGUACAGAGGAGAAAUGUGAGGUUGGAGCCCCCACACAGAGUCCCCACCGGGGCACUGGGUAGUGGAGCUGUAAGAAGAGGGCCACCAUUCUCUAGACCCCAGAAUGGUAGAUCCACCAACAGCUUGCACCGUGCACUUGGAAAAGCCCCAGGCACUCAACGCCAGCCCAUGAAAACAGCCACAGGGGCUGUACCCUGCAGAACCACAGGGGUGGAGCUGCCCAGAACUUUGGGAGUCCACCCCUUGCAUCAGUGUAGCUUGGAUGUGAGACAUGGAGUCAAAGGAGAUUAUUUUGGAGCUUUAACAUUUAAUGACUGCUCCACUGGGUUUCAGAUUUGCAUGGGCCUUGCAGCCUCUUUGUUUUGGCAAAUUUUUCCCAUUUGGAAGGGGAGCAUUUACCCAAUGCCUGUACCCCCAUUGUAUCUUGGAAGUAACUAACUUGUUUUUUAUUUUAUAGGCUCAUAGAUGGAAGGCUUGUCUCAGAUAAGACUUUGGACUUGGACUUUUGGGUUAAUGCUGGAAUGAGUUAAGACUUUGGGGUUCUGUUGGGAAGGCAUGAUUGUGUUUUGAAAUGUGAGAAGGACAAGAGAUCUGGGAGGGGCCAGGGUUGGAAUGAUAUGGCUUGGCUCUGUGUCCCCACCCGAAUCUCAUCUCAAAUUGUAAUCCUCACAUGUGGAGGAAGGUACCUGGUGGGAGCUGAUUGGAUCAUGGGGGUGGUUCCCCCAAGCUGUUCUCAUGAUAGUAAGUUCAUUCUCAUGAGAUCUGAUGGUUUAAAAGUGUGGCAUUUACACACUCUUUCUCUCCUGCUGCCAUGUAAGACAUGCCUUGCUUUCCCUUAACCUUCUGCCAUGAUUGUAAGUUUCCCGAGGUGUCCCCAGCCAUGUGAAACUGUGAGUUAAUUAAAGCUCUUUUCUUUAUAAAUUACCCAAUCUCAGGUAUUUCUUUA